rnacentral:lncRNA from 1 species
GAAACAUUUUCCUUUAUCAGCAGCCUUCUUCUUCGGUUCUGUCUUCUUCUUCUUGCCAUCCACCUUUUGCUUCUUCGCAGAUUUUUUUUUCUUUCCAAAAGACUUUCUCUUGGAAGAAGUUCACUCCACAGUAAGAACUGAGCCUUUUGAACCCUUCAUAGAAAGUUCAGCCGUAACCAGUAUGUUCAUUAACUCGGCCA